UACGUAGGUGGCGAGCGUUGUCCGGAAUUAUUGGGCGUAAAGAGCGCGUAGGCGGAACUGCAAGUCUAAUUUAAAAGUGCGGAGCUCAACUCCGUGAGGGGUUAGAAACUGCAGAUCUUGAGUGCAGGAGAGGAAAGUGGAAUUCCCAGUGUAGCGGUGAAAUGCGUAGAGAUUGGGAGGAACACCAGUGGCGAAGGCGACUUUCUGGACUGUGUCUGACGCUGAGGCGCGAAAGCCAGGGGAGUGAACGGG
rnacentral:rRNA from 1 species